CCUGGCGGCAGUAGCGCGGUGGUCCCACCUGACCCCAUGCCGAACUCAGAAGUGAAACGCCGUAGCGCCGAUGGUAGUGUGGGGGCUCCUCAUGCGAGAGUAGGGAACUGCCAGGC
rnacentral:rRNA from 1 species